rfam:Brassica oleracea var. oleracea cultivar TO1000 chromosome C4, whole genome shotgun sequence
AGAUGUUAAGAAUCUGUUUCUUAACUUUUAACUAAAAAAGCUAAGAACCGGUUCUUAAAUAAGGACUUUAAGAGCCGGUUCUUAGCUUUUUUAAUUAAAAGUUAAGAAACAGUUUCUUAAUUUCC